rnacentral:rRNA from 1 species
GAUGAACGCUGGCGGCGUGCCUAAUACAUGCAAGUCGAGCGAACGGACGAGAAGCUUGCUUCUCUGAUGUUAGCGGCGGACGGGUGAGUAACACGUGGAUAACCUACCUAUAAGACUGGGAUAACUUCGGGAAACCGGAGCUAAUACCGGAUGAUAUUUUGAACCGCAUGGUUCAAAAGUGAAAGACGGUCUUGCUGUCACUUAUAGAUGGAUCCGCGCUGCAUUAGUUAGUUGGUAAGGUAACGGCUUACCAAGGCAACGAUGCAUAGCCGACCUGAGAGGGUGAUCGGCCACACUGGAACUGAGACACGGUCCAGACUCCUACGGGAGGCAGCAGUAGGGAAUAUUCCGCAAUGGGCGAAAGCCUGACGGAGCAACGCCGCGUGAGUGAUGAAGGUCUUCGGAUCGUAAAACUCUGUUAUUAGGGAAGAACAGAUGUGUAAGUAACUGUGCACAUCUUGACGGUACCUAAUCAGAAAGCCACGGCUAACUACGUG